GACGAACGCUGGCGGCGUGCUUAACACAUGCAAGUCGAGCGGAAAGGCCCUUCGGGGUACUCGAGCGGCGAACGGGUGAGUAACACGUGAGUAACCUGCCCCAGACUUUGGGAUAACCCUCGGAAACGGGGGCUAAUACCGGAUACGACACAGCUUCGCAUGGGGUCUGUGUGGAAAGUUUUUCGGUUUGGGAUGGGCUCGCGGCCUAUCAGCUUGUUGGUGGGGUGAUGGCCUACCAAGGCGACGACGGGUAGCCGGCCUGAGAGGGCGACCGGCCACAGGGGGAGUGAGACAGGCCCCAGCGCCCGAGGGGGGGAGGCGGGGGGAAAUUUGGAAGAGGGGGGGGGCGCAGGAGGAAGCGCGCGGGGGGGGGGAUGGCCGGCCGUGGGUGUAAAACCCUCUUGCGGGGGGGACGAACGGAGAGGGAGGGUACCUGAGAAAGAAGCCCCGCCCAACUCCGGC
rnacentral:rRNA from 1 species